rnacentral:tRNA from 1 species
GGGGGCACAGCUCAAGCGGUAGAGCGCGUGCCUCUCAUGCAGAAGGUCCUGGGUUCAAUCCCCAGUACCUCCU